UCCCUGGUGGACAAGUGGCUAGCAUGAGGUGCUCUCUCUGCUGCGGCAUGGGUUUGAUUCCCAGCCAGGGAA